rnacentral:tRNA from 1 species
AUUUUUAUAGUUCAGUUGGUUAGAACACCCGUUUAGUAAGCGGAAGGUCUUGAGUUCGGAUCUCAAUGAAAGCA